GUUUCAGUCAGUCAGUCACUUCCCACCCCACCGCACCUCGAGACCUUUAAAGGUCUAGUAGAUGAUUUUCUAUGAAAAAUCAUCAAGGCUUUUGAGGAAAGGCAGGUGCGAUUGUUGUGCAAAAGCACUAAAGGUCCUUGGAGGGAACUAACAUAGACACUGCUGUUGGCCUGAAGCAGUGACUACGUUCUGCAAAAGCUAGUAAGAAGACAUCAUAGUUCCAGUUCCCUGCACAGCCUGUAUGCAGAAGAUUCAGUUGUGCCCAAAAGUGAACUGCAGAGUUUGUGGAUAAAGAUUUGUCUAACUGCUGAUUCAUGCAAAUGAUUUUCACAUAGAGCAGUUCAUAUGUUAGAAUACAAUAUUUAAACCACAUUAAAUGUAUUU